GCAGUCGAGCGAAUGGAUUAAGAGCUUGCUCUUAUGAAGUUAGCGGCGGACGGGUGAGGAACACGUGGGUAACCUGCCCAUAAGACUGGGAUAACUCCGGGAAACCGGGGCUAAUACCGGAUAACAUUUUGAACCGCAUGGAUCUAAAUUGAAAGGCGGCUUCGGCUGUCACUUAUGGAUGGACCCGCGUCGCAUUAGCUAGUUGGUGAGGUAACGGCUCACCAAGGCGACGAUGCGUAACCAACCUGAGAGGGUGAUCGGCCACACUGGGACUGAUACACGGCCCAGACUCCUACGGGAGGCAGCAAUAGGGAAUCUUCCGCAAUGGACGAAAGUCUGACGGAGCAACGCCGCGUGAGUGAUGAAGGCUUUCGGGUCGUAAAACUCUGUUGUUAGGGAAUAACAACUGCUAGUUGAAUAAGCUGGCACCUUGACGGUACCUAACCAGAAAGCCACGGCUAACUACGUGCCACCAACCGCGGUAAUACGUAUGUGGCAAGCGGUAUCCGGAAUUAUUGGGCGUAAAGCGCGCGCAGGUGGUUUCUUAAGUCUGAUGUGAAAGCCCACGGCUCAACCGUGGAGGGUCAUUGGAAACUGGGAGACUUGAGUGCAGAAGAGGAAGUGGAAUUCCAUGUGUAGCGGUGAAAUGCGUAGAGAUAUGGAGGAACACCAGUGGCGAAGGCGACUUUCUGGUCUGUAACUGACACUGAGGCGCGAAAGCGUGGGGAGCAAACAGGAUUAGAUACCCUGGUAGUCCACGCCGUAAACGAUGAGUGCUAAGUGUUAGAGGGUUUCCGCCCUUUAGUGCUGAAGUUAACGCAUUAAGCACUCCGCCUGGGGAGUACGGCCGCAAGGCUGAAACUCAAAGGAAUUGACGGGGGCCCGCACAAGCGGUGGAGCAUGUGGUUUAAUUGGAAGCAACGGGAAGACCCUUACCAGGUUUUGACAUCCUUUGACAACCCUAGAGAUAGGGGUUUUCCUUCGGGAGCAGAGUGACAGGUGGUGCAUGGUUGUUGUCAGCUUGUGUCGUGAGAUGUUGGGUUAAGUCCCGCAACGAGCGCAACCCUUGAUUUUAGUUGCCAUCAUUUAGUUGGGCACUUUAAGGUGACUGCCGGUGACAAACCGGAGGAAGGUGGGGAUGACGUCAAAUCAUCAUGCCCCUUAUGGCCUGGGGUACACACGUGCUACAAUGGGCGGUACAAAGAGGUGCAAGACCGCGAGGUGGAGCUAAUUUCAUAAAACCGUUUUCAGUU
rnacentral:rRNA from 1 species